rnacentral:rRNA from 1 species
AUAAUGGGUCAGCGACUUAUAUUCUGUAGCAAGGUUAACCGAAUAGGGGAGCCGAAGGGAAACCGAGUCUUAACUGGGCGUUAAGUUGCAGGGUAUAGACCCGAAACCCGGUGAUCUAGCCAUGGGCAGGUUGAAGGUUGGGUAACACUAACUGGAGGACCGAACCGACUAAUGUUGAAAAAUUAGCGGAUGACUUGUGGCUGGGGGUGAAAGGCCAAUCAAACCGGGAGAUAGCUGGUUCUCCCCGAAAGCUAUUUAGGUAGCGCCUCGUGAAUUCAUCUCCGGGGGUAGAGCACUGUUUCGGCAAGGGGGUCAUCCCGACUUACCAACCCGAUGCAAACUGCGAAUACCGGAGAAUGUUAUCACGGGAGACACACGGCGGGUGCUAACGUCCGUCGUGAAGAGGGAAACAACCCAGACCGCCAGCUAAGGUCCCAAAGUCAUGGUUAAGUGGGAAACGAUGUGGGAAGGCCCAGACAGCCAGGAUGUUGGCUUAGAAGCAGCCAUCAUUUAAAGAAAGCGUAAUAGCUCACUGGUCGAGUCGGCCUGCGCGGAAGAUGUAACGGGGCUAAACCAUGCACCGAAGCUGCGGCAGCGACGCUGAUGCGUUGUUGGGUAGGGGAGCGUUCUGUAAGCCUGCGAAGGUGUGCUGUGAGGCAUGCUGGAGGUAUCAGAAGUGCGAAUGCUGACAUAAGUAACGAUAAAGCGGGUGAAAAGCCCGCUCGCCGGAAGACCAAGGGUUCCUGUCCAACGUUAAUCGGGGCAGGGUGAGUCGACCCCUAAGGCGAGGCCGAAAGGCGUAGUCGAUGGGAAACAGGUUAAUAUUCCUGUACUUGGUGUUACUGCGAAGGGGGGACGGAGAAGGCUAUGUUGGCCGGGCGACGGUUGUCCCGGUUUAAGCGUGUAGGCUGGUUUUCCAGGCAAAUCCGGAAAAUCAAGGCUGAGGCGUGAUGACGAGGCACUACGGUGCUGAAGCAACAAAUGCCCUGCUUCCAGGAAAAGCCUCUAAGCAUCAGGUAACAUCAAAUCGUACCCCAAACCGACACAGGUGGUCAGGUAGAGAAUACCAAGGCGCUUGAGAGAACUCGGGUGAAGGAACUAGGCAAAAUGGUGCCGUAACUUCGGGAGAAGGCACGCUGAUAUGUAGGUGAAGUCCCUCGCGGAUGGAGCUGAAAUCAGUCGAAGAUACCAGCUGGCUGCAACUGUUUAUUAAAAACACAGCACUGUGCAAACACGAAAGUGGACGUAUACGGUGUGACGCCUGCCCGGUGCCGGAAGGUUAAUUGAUGGGGUCAGCGCAAGCGAAGCUCUUGAUCGAAGCCCCGGUAAACGGCGGCCGUAACUAUAACGGUCCUAAGGUAGCGAAAUUCCUUGUCGGGUAAGUUCCGACCUGCACGAAUGGCGUAAUGAUGGCCAGGCUGUCUCCACCCGAGACUCAGUGAAAUUGAACUCGCUGUGAAGAUGCAGUGUACCCGCGGCAAGACGGAAAGACCCCGUGAACCUUUACUAUAGCUUGACACUGAACAUUGAGCCUUGAUGUGUAGGAUAGGUGGGAGGCUUUGAAGUGUGGACGCCAGUCUGCAUGGAGCCGACCUUGAAAUACCACCCUUUAAUGUUUGAUGUUCUAACGUUGACCCGUAAUCCGGGUUGCGGACAGUGUCUGGUGGGUAGUUUGACUGGGGCGGUCUCCUCCUAAAGAGUAACGGAGGAGCACGAAGGUUGGCUAAUCCUGGUCGGACAUCAGGAGGUUAGUGCAAUGGCAUAAGCCAGCUUGACUGCGAGCGUGACGGCGCGAGCAGGUGCGAAAGCAGGUCAUAGUGAUCCGGUGGUUCUGAAUGGAAGGGCCAUCGCUCAACGGAUAAAAGGUACUCCGGGGAUAACAGGCUGAUACCGCCCAAGAGUUCAUAUCGACGGCGGUGUUUGGCACCUCGAUGUCGGCUCAUCACAUCCUGGGGCUGAAGUAGGUCCCAAGGGUAUGGCUGUUCGCCAUUUAAAGUGGUACGCGAGCUGGGUUUAGAACGUCGUGAGACAGUUCGGUCCCUA